GUAAGGCAGUGAGUACAUUUCUUAUCAAAUUUGUUACCUCCUCCCUCAUUUUUCUCCCACCUUCCUCCCUCCCCAAUUCCCUCCCGACAGGUGAACUUUGAAAGCAUAUUUGCUUAGUGGGGAGAGAUUUAAUUUAAAACCUUGUAAUUACUGAUUUCCCAAUUCCCAUCUAGAUUCUAAUAGAACUUUGUACUUUGGUGAGAUGCAGCUUCAACAACUCAACUUUUGUUCUUUUACUCAUUUGAAAUUGCAGUGAUCUGAAUUGGAAGGUGUUCACAUACUUCUCCAGCUAGUACACCCUCUAGCCUCCUUUUAGCCAUGCCAGAGCUGAUUAAAUGUUCAUACAAGGUCUCUGAAUAUAGAUUUGCACACAGGUCAAAGGUAAAGGCAAGCCCCUGCUAUCUGAAACACAGGUAGUUUUGAGAUGACAGAAGUGUUGAGAAGAUUAUCUUCUCAUAUCUUUCCUUAGUCAGGGGAAGCCCUGACAACAGGGAUUUCUAACAACAUUCAUGGAAAUUGUUGCAAUGCCACACCUAUACUAACCUCCUUAAGAAAGAAGAGGCAAAGAACAUGGAGUAGACAGUUCAGAAUCAACCCACUUCUUUGGCAUAUUAACAGACAGAAAUUCCAAGAUAAGGACAUUCUUUAAAACUGAGUUCAAAAUGCUUCAUAGAUUCCUCAGUCAUAGGAGAAAAGAUAAUUACUGUGUUUGAGAAAGAUCCUAUCUUUCUCCACAAUAAAGUAGUGAUAUUUCCUGAUUUGAUUUAUAGGCAUCCAUACAAAAAAUAAAUUCACAUUUUACUUGAUCUUCCCUAGAUGCUACUUAAAAAAAAUUCUUCACUAAUUCCCAAUUGAGGAGAUAAGGGAAUUGUGAGUCAAAUAUAAUCUCUGGUUUCCAUGGAGAAAAAACAAAAAUAAGAUUUGUGAUUUUUUUUUUGUCUUGGGGAUGUGUUGUUAGCAAAUUAUUAAAGCACAAAAUGGCAUCUCAGUUCACAGCAUCUCUAAGCUUGCAGAAUCAUUAAAGAAUCUUCCUAAGAGAUACAACUGUAUGGUGCAGGGAGGAAAGCCAGGACAAGUGGAUAUUCUUUAUCAGCAUCACAAAUUUAA